GUGCUUGUUUCACCAACACACACACUAACAUGAAACAAUACAGAGAAGAUUAGCGUGGCCCCUGCACAAGAAUGACACGCACAUUAGUGAAGCAUUCCAUAUUUUU
ensembl:snRNA U6 U6 spliceosomal RNA